UCUCUCUCUCUCUCUCUCUCUCUCUCUCUCUCUCUCUCCCCUCUGUUUUCCUUUCUAUCUAUCUGAAACUCUAGAAACCCUAUUUCCAAUUGAAUCCGGUUCCGUCCAAAUCUGCCCCUAGUUGCCGAGCCCAGUCUAAUUUCGAACGCGCAUGUCUUUCCAGCAAUCUCUAAGGAAUAUUACCCUGUACAAAUUUGAUACCUGGUCUGUUUUUCAUCACUGAAUCCCCCGGUGGUUGGUGAGUCUUAUUAGUAAACACCUUCUUAACAAGUGCUGGGAUUUGGUGUCUAGGCCAAAAUGGGUAUGACGGACGAGUUCGAAGCUUCUUUGCAAGUACUACGGGGAUUUGAUACUGACAUUUCUUUUGAAGUGAAUGAAAUCAAGAGAUCUGUAGCUUCCACAAGCAGGAGAACAGCCAUCUGAUUUUCUCAUCUCAAGCAAAGAAGAUAUUGGUUUCCUCUAAUGGUAGGAAUUGGGUCACUAGUAUUGCAGUAGCUAAGUGGAGUCAAUGGCAUCCUAUUUUAUGCGAGCAAUAUUUUCAAAGCUGCUGGUGGGUUUAGUUAUCAAUAUUUUCACCAGUAUUGUGCUUUUUUUUUUUUUUUUUUUUUCAGUUGAAUGUGGACAGUUGCUGUUUUUACCUUCUUAGCCAUCUUUUUGUAGGCUACUAAAUUCCAUCUGGUCCAUCCCAAGCCUGGGUAGAGGGUUGAUGUCAGGUUUGUCGAUGGGCAUUGAACCGUUGCCGAGCAAUCAUAAAAAAGAUCCCAAAUAGCUGGGACAAGGCUAUGAUGAUAAUGAUGACAAUAUACCAUCUAAUUGAGUCCAGAUUUGCAAUAACAGGAUUCUCCUAUCAAGGAGAUUUUCUUGAGAUGGCCCAUUAUGAUGAUAAUGGUGACAAUAUACCAUCUAGAGUACCAUAGCAUUUUACUCACCACAAAUUGAAACCACUUGUUUUGAAAUAUCUUAUCCAUUACUCAGUUUGCAACAUGCACGACAUGGGCAGUCUGUAACUGUUUCGAAUCUGAUAUGUUCAGUUAGUCUACAAUUCAAUAUUGUCAGAAUUUGCUGGCCAUUGAUUGGUGAGGAGACAGUUCCAACUGAACUGAUAGUUCUGCAUUUUGACACUUCACAGAGGGAGGGAGAGAGUUAAGGAUUUCUUCAAACAUGUUCAAGUUGCCACUGUUUGUCUUACUACUUUUCACCAUGCCAUUUGAUUCAUCAGCUGGUUAAGGAUCUCUUCAAACAAGUUCAAGUCGCCACCGUUUGUCUUACUACUUUUCACCAUGCCAUUUGAUUCAUCGGCUUGUUUUGAAAGGUUUUUGGGGGUCCAUCUGGUAUGGAUCUGUUCAUAAGCUUUGUUUUGUCUUACUUAAUGGCUUGUUACUAAUUUUCACCAUGCCAUUUGGUUCAUCACAGUUUUUAGUGUUUUCAGAAUGCCCUGGGAAAGGAAUUAUGGUAUUUGGCAUGAUCAUCCACGUGUAUAAUCAAAUGCUUAUAAAAAACAACAGCACUAACACAGAGGAGUCUUUUUUGCUGCUCUUCUAUGGUGAUUUGAUGGAUUCAUGGAUUUAAAUUUGCUUGCAUUUGAUUCGAUGUUUUAAGGAUGCAGGGGCCUAUAGUGGUCCUUUUGGUAGUCUUGAAUUUUGAAGUUUAUCACCUUUCAAAAAAAAAAAAGAAAAAAGAAAAAAAAGAACAAGAACGAAAGAAAAGAAAAGAAAAAAACAGAAAAAAGAGAGAA